rnacentral:rRNA from 1 species
UGGCGGUAUGCUUACACAUGCAAGUCGAACGGAAUCCUUAGGGAUUUAGUGGCGGACGGGUGAGUAACGCGUGAGAAUCUGGCUUCAGGUCUGGGACAACAGUUGGAAACGACUGCUAAUACCGGAUGUGCCGAGAGGUGAAAGGCUUGCUGCCUGAAGAUGAGCUUGCGUCUGAUUAGCUAGUUGGUGGGGUAAGAGCCUACCAAGGCGACGAUCAGUAGCUGGUCUGAGAGGAUGAUCAGCCACACUGGGACUGAGACACGGCCCAGACUCCUACGGGAGGCAGCAGUGGGGAAUUUUCCGCAAUGGGCGAAAGCCUGACGGAGCAAUACCGCGUGAGGGAGGAAGGCUCUUGGGUUGUAAACCUCUUUUCUCAGGGAAGAAAAAAAUGACGGUACCUGAGGAAUAAGCAUCGGCUAACUCCGUGCCAGCAGCCGCGGUAAUACGGAGGGAUGCAAGCGUUAUCCGGAAUGAUUGGGCGUAAAGGGUCCGCAGGUGGCUAUGUAAGUCUGCUGUUAAAUAGUCAUGCUCAACAUGAUCAAGGCAGUGGAAACUACAAGGCUAGAGUGCGUUCGGGGCAGAGGGGAAUUCCUGGGUGUAGCGGUGAAAUGCGUAGAUAUCAGGAAGAACACCGGUGGCGAAAGCGCUCUGCUAGGCCGCAACUGACACUGAGGGACGAAAGCUAGGGGAGCGAAUGGGAUAGAUACCCCAGUAGUCCUAGCCGUAAACGAUGGAUACUAAGGCGUGGCUUGUAUCGAACCCGAGCCGUGC